CUUUUAAGUACUAAUCAACAAACGUCAAUAUUUUAGACGAGUCUCCUAAUUUUUAGGGACUGAUGUCAUUUUUAACGUGUCUCCUAUUUUUAGGGACC
rfam:Populus trichocarpa scaffold_1_contig_340, whole genome shotgun sequence.